rnacentral:rRNA from 1 species
UGAGGAAUAUUGCACAAUGGGCGAAAGCCUGAUGCAGCGACGCCGCGUGGAUGAUGAAGGCCUUCGGGUCGUAAAAUCCUUUUCUGUGUGACGAGAACGGACGGUAGCACAGGAAUAAGUCUCGGCUAACUACGUGCCAGCAGCCGCGGUAAAACGUAGGAGACAAACGUUAUCCGGAGUUACUGGGCGUAAAGGGCGUGCAGGCGGUUAUCUAAGUCUGGUGUGAAAUCUGUCGGCUUAACCGGGAGAGGUCAUUGGAAACUGGAUAACUCGAGGACGGUAGAGGCGUGUGGAAUUCCGGGUGUAGUGGUGAAAUGCGUAGAUAUCCGGAGGAACACCAGUGGCGAAGGCGACACGCUGGGCCGUACCUGACGCUAAGACGCGACAGCAUGGGGAGCGAACGGG